GGGAUAUAUAAUCUCUCCCUAUAUAUUCUCCAUGCAUUGAAGCAGCCUCAACACACCCAGGGACCUGGUACAGACGUGGGACCUGUUUCAUGCAACAUCUGCUACUGGAAGGAAAAAAAGAAGCAAAUGAUACCAAGACAAGCUCAUAACAAAGAUCUAAUCACCAGAUGUGUAUGGAUGAAAAUACAGUGAGAUGAGUCAGAAAACGGCUAAGGAGGGUCCCAGACUCUCCAAGAACCAAAAGUUUUCCGAGCACUUCGUCAUACGUUGCUGCCCACCAUUCACCUUCCUCAACUCCAAACGUGAGAUUGUGGAUCGGAAAUACAGCAUCUGUAGAAGUGGCUGCUUUUACCAGAAGAAAGAAGAGGACUGGAUCUGCUGUGCCUGCCAGAAGACCAGAUUGAAAAGGAAAACCAAGCCAGCCCCAAAGAAGAAGUGACCCAGAAGGAAUUUCAAGUGAAUGGACGGCCUCAGCUCCUGGAUUCACUGCUUCUCGACCCACAUGUCUUUGGGCAAGUUAUCAGGCUUCGAAUAUGAUGCUGGGGCAGACACCUGUGGAGGUGGCAACUACCAACACCCACAGUCCCCAUGGCACGGGGGGCCACCAGGCAUCCUGCCUAGAGCAUUUUGAAGAUAUCAUCCUAUUGUCUUCUGACCUCUAUAAUUGCCAAUGAAAAAUCUGCUGUCAGUGUACUUGUCCCUCCAUUGAUUCAAGUUUCUUCAAUCUGAAGAAAAAUAUCUUUCUUCAGGGAUGUGCAAAAAAAAGAUUUCAUUGUACAACCAUCAAAAUGGCAAAAAUUAAAAAUGAUCAAGUGUUGGCAAGGAUAUGGGGAAAAUUCUCAAAAGCUACUGAUGGAAAUUUAUAAACUAUUACAAUACCUUUGGGAUGAAAUCUGGGGAUACACGCAAAGCUGGAUAUUGUAUAACCUAUGAUCAAGUAAUUAUGAUUUUAGGCACCAAUACUAAAGAAAACUUGAAUUCAUUGAAAAAAGAGAUACAUAUAAGUAUGUUCAGUGAAGCACUGUUUGCGAUUGGAAAAAAGAGAGAGAGAGAGAGAAAGGAAUUAAUCAAAAUGUCCACCAAUAGGAGAAUGAGUGAAUCAGUAAAUGUAUAUUCAUAAAUAGAAUCCUAAACAGCAAUUAGAACACAUGAAUCAGGUACACUCACAUCAGGUAGAUACAUUUGGAAAACGAAAUGAGGAAUAUAAAAAGCAAAUAGUAGAUGGUAAAUGCAAUGUGAUGCCCUGUGCAUAGAUUUUAAUAGCCCACAAUACUAUAAUUGCCCAAUAAGCAGAAACCAUAAGAUCUCACACUCACCCUAUGAUGUGAUAGAAUAAAAAAAAAUGACAACAAAAUAAAAGGCUAUCCAAGAUAUAUCUGUCCUCUUGGAAAUCAAAAAUAUUUGAAAUAUUCCAGGUUUGAAGAAACAACUGAAAUUAAAAGCUAUGUGGAAAUGGUCAGCAAUUUUAGUCAUACACAAACGUUUUUGGAGAGAUAAGUGGGAGGCUGAUGAUACGCCUGGGGUCUCUCCAAGGUUACAAGUCUUAGAAAACGAAAACACUUGUUCUGAGUCAAUUUUGGAUCUGGGUUGUACUGUGGCUUCUGCAGGUUUCUGACGUGGGGAAGGGGGGAAGAGUUAGAAUACACCCCUCCCUCACAAACUUCCUGUAGUAAUAGGUAGAAAAACACAGUAGAAGAUAAUAGAAUGUUGUAGAAUGUGGAGGGAUGUAAAAUGGCAGUGUUAGGUAGAGGGAACUCGGAAUGAAGGAGAGAGGGGGCAUCUGGAGCAGUCUUGUGCUGGGAGCUGGCAUGGCCAACCACAGGCAGAUGCCCCAACAAGGCAAGGUUCUGUGUCCUUGAGUGAGCACAGCCAGACCCAGCCAAGUUUAAGGGGCAAGUAAAAUAUGGGGCAAUGCCAGAGGUAGAUCUGUUCAAGGUGUGGGGCUGGGAUGAGAGGAAAUGCCAGAGGGUAGGGAGGAAGAGUGGGAGACUCAGAUGAGAUUUAGCUCAGAACACCACACUUCCAGAAGGAGAAAUCAGGCCAAGUACUGUUCCAGGACAGCUGGAAGGCAAGGCCAGAGUGUCCUGGCUUCCUCACUUGGGGAGGCCACUUAUCUGUGGAAGUGGCAAUAAAAAGGCAGGGGAAUUGAACUCCACAGAGCUUUCAGGUAGAAAUGUUUCUCCUGCCUCAAUUCAGGUGCUAAAUGAACAACAAAAUGAGAACCUCUACUAUGAACAGUUUCCAAUGAUGAGAUAUCUGAGGCCAUUACAUUCCUGGGAAUAGCACCAGGGGUGCCAUGACAGACUACUAGAAAGAAAAAAUUAGUAGGCCAGCCCCUCUCAGACCCAAUAAGGAAGCUCAAUAUUCCUUCAGCCCAUUUUAGAUUUUAGCAAAGCCAGAUCCCAUACUCAGAGCUCGCUAAGCUCUAUCCUCCAUAUCAUCCAGAAAAUACAGUUACUACAGAGUGCACAAUUGGGGAGGAGAAAGCAUAGUGUGUAUUAAUUCAUGUAAAAAAUUGGAUAUUAGCACAGAAGUGUUAAUAAACAGAAAUUCCUGAAUUCUUUAUGUUCGUCUGUUGUGGAAAUAAAACCCUUUGGGAAUAGAUCAAAAAUAUACGGAAAUUACUUGAAACUGGUGGACAACUAAAUGUAAUGUGCCUUGGAUAUUAUUACUAAAAUGUACUAUAAUUCAAUUGUAUUUUUUGUCUUUUAAGGGUUGGUUCUGGGGAGCAUUAUGCAGUGAAUAUUGCAGAAGUUAUAUAAAGCUCCAAAAGCUAUUCUGUGUAAAUUUCAUGAGUGUGAAUUCUCAACUAUGAUGUUUGGCAUAUUACUCUGAUAAUUCUGGAUGUUAAUUGAUUUUAUGUUCUGACAUUUUGACUGAUUUUGGGAAAACUGAGACAUGUACCCAGACUUGUUCUGUAAAUGCUUAACAACUGGCUCCCUAGGUGAAAAGUCCUGAUUUACGGUCUUUGCCAAUUUCCCCGGUGUAAAUAUUUCCACUAUGGCUGAGUGCAAGCUAUGAAUGUGAUGUCACUGAACUCAGAAUUGGGAAGAAAUGUGCACAGUCGUCUAUUGUGAGUCAAUACAGACCAUUGUAUGUACCCACGGGCUUCUGUGAAACUACAGUUUUUACCAAAAUUCUGCUCCAUAAAUAUACAAAGGCCUAGUGAAAGAAAAAAUAUCAAGGGAAAACAAAAUAAAUUCAAAUUGGGGAGCUCAGAUGAAGAAAAUUGACAGAUUUGUUUUUGAAACUUUGAGAAACGGCAUUUGUCUAUAAUCUGCAUUUUAUUAAAGGAACAAGAUAUCUAUGUAUCAUGUUGAGUGUUCCGAACUCUUAGUUUCUUUGGUGUUCCCCUAGACGGAGGCGGGGGCUUCUUUCCUUUCAGAUAUUCAUGCUAAGGCAAUGCUGACCGAAGGAUCGAUGGGACCUGCACACUGUGAAGCCAGUUUCAGGAUGGCUGAUCUUAGAGUCAACAAAGAGGAAAAGAUAAGGAGCCUUCUGAGUUUUGGGAGGCAACACUGAAAUUUAGAGCCGUGAUUUGGUAUGAUAAUGUAUAGUUUUUUAAAUUAACAUUAAUGAAAAGAAGAAAAAUUAGCUGUUCAAAAAUUGAAAAAAUGGAUUAAUAAACUCUUCUAUUAGAGUAAGGCAAGAAGAACUUAUUAAAAUAGAGGUGAAUUGGAACAUC